rnacentral:rRNA from 1 species
GACGAACGCUGGCGGCGUGCCUAAUGCAUGCAAGUCGCACGCAGUAGCUUCGGCUGCUGAGUGGCGCACGGCUGAGGAACACGUGGGAACCUGCCCGACCGUGGGGGAUAACGCGCCGAAAGGCGUGCUAAUCCCGCAUACGUUCGCAAGAAGAAAGCAGCAAUGCGCGGUCGGAGGGGCCUGCGGCCCAUCAGGUAGUCGGCGGGGUAACGGCCCACCGAGCCAAUGACGGGUAGCUGGUCUGUGAGGACAGACAGCCAGACUGGGACUGAGACACGGCCCAGACUCCUACGGGAGGCAGCAGCAAGGAAUUUUCGGCAAUGGGCGCAAGCCUGACCGAGCAACGCCGCGUGGAGGAUGACGGCCUUCGGGUUGUAAACUCCUUUUCCAGGGGAUGAUGAUGACCGUACCCUGGGAAUCAGGCUCGGCUAACUCUGUG